GAAGCAGACCUAGCCCACCCCGCGACCCUCGUUCCUCAUGCGCCGCCGCCGCCCCCCUCCUGCGAUGGAGGAAGUGAGAGGAAAGAGGAGAGGGAGGUGAGGUAGCAGGCAGGAGAGGGUCACCGGCUGCUGUCGGCCUGCGCCGGCGAGGUCGGGCGCGACCUGGCGGUUGGUGGCGGCUCGAUCCGAUCCUGGAUCGGGAGAGGAGGAAGGGAGGUGGGGGGCCGGCCGUCUCUGUGCCUCCUCGACGCCGAGCUGCGGCUGCUCCGUCAGGAGUAGGAGGAAGGGAGGAGGAAGGGAGGAUGAGGAAGUAGACCAGCAGGAGGAAGAGAGGAUCUCGGGACGCGCUCCUUAUUGGACUUACUGUAGUAUAAACAGGCCUUGCCUUUAGCUUUGUGGAAUAUUUAGAUCGCGGCGAUAGGUUCGAGCGACGCCAACCGCGGCCAACGACCUUGAUGCGGAUGGCAGCGACUGAACCGGUGGACAUGGUCGACGUAUAGGGGAAUCCACAUUUCUCUUUGCUUCCAUGUCCACAGGAGAAAAUUGCUGAACAUUUUGGCAUCCCAAGAUUUCCUCCCCACGGUAUGCAGUGGCUCAAGGAAGCUGAAGAGGAAGGCUAAGAUGAUGAAGAAGAGUAGAGCCGGAGUGGAAUGCAUCGUUCUGCAAUUUGGGUGGUGGAAAUUGUUCUUACCUUGCGUCCUAUCCCUAGCCUUGAACAACAUCUCUCUAAAUCCAUCCCUGAUCUGCAACACCUUUUUUUGGGAGGUUGCAGGUACAACACAUGUGCUACUAUUCUCACAAAGGGAAUACUUACUGUUGACCAUUACUACGUAUGCCACAUGACAGAAACAUUUGCUACUGACGGCAAAAGAAUGGUAAUCUCAAACAAAUGCAUUCUUGUGUUUCAUACAAGAACAUGCUGGCAAACCAUGUACUAAAUAACCUUUAGUACAUGGAUAUUGAUCAUGAUGAGCUACCAAUCAGGACGGGACCACCAGUGUCAUGGCCCGCUUUAUCAAGGGUGUCGACAACAGGGCUACACUCACAAAGAACUGGAGCAGCCUCUUUCAUAAGGCGAACAUGAAGAAAGGGUGUGCAUAUGCUUUCGCCUUCAAGUGCAUGUCCAAGGGCCUCUGCAUGAUUGUCUAUCCAGUCUAAACAAGUCACAAUAGUCCUUUGCUACGCAACUUGGUAUUACUAUAAGUACCUAUCGAGACUUCUAUAUCUGGCAUCAUUUUGGAUCUUAUGUAAAAAAUUAUGAUAAUCCUGUCCGUAUGACUAUCAUCAAUCCGUACUUAUUUUCAUA